rnacentral:rRNA from 1 species
AGUGAACGCUGGCGGCGUGCCUAACACAUGCAAGUCGAACGAGAACGGGUUUAAGUUUACUUAAACUGUCAGCUAAGUGGCGCACGGGUGAGUAAUAUAUAGUUAACCUGCCUCAAAGAAGGGAAUAAUUGUUGGAAACGACUUGUAAUGCCCUAUAUGCCUUUAUCACAUAAGUGAGCAAGGGAAAUAUUUAUAGCUUUGAGAUGGGACUGUACGGUAUCAGAUUGUUGGUGAGGUAAUGGCUCACCAAGUCUAUGACGCCUAACUGGUUUGAGAGGAUGAUCAGUCACACUGGAACUGAGACACGGUCCAG